GUAACCCAUCCCAUGAGGGAAGCAGUGUUUAUGUCAGUGGCCUGCUAGACCCUGAGCUCCGCGAGGACCUGGUGCUCUUACAUUCUUCGGAUCUCCGAAUGAAAUCUUGACUCAGACUGUUCACCUUGGUGGUCGGUUCCUCUUUGCAAGUCCGUAGGUCCCUGCAAAGCACUGGAAGUGGGAGCAGCCCCGUGGCUGAAAGCACAGGGACUUCUCAUGUGGAGAUGAGAGUCCUCACCGUGGCUCCGAGGCAGAGCUACACCCUCUUAUUAUACACACUUGUCCUGAUGAGAAAUAGAACUCAUUCAACGGCAUGCAGUCCUACCUUUUUUCCCUCAAAAUGCAUCCUAAGUAGGUCAUUAUUGAGAGACCUGUUGUUUCCUUUGAUGGCUGUGAAUUCACUGGGAUGGCAGAAUCAAGCAGACUUCUCAGUGGCAGUUACAAGGUCAGUGUCACUGAUUAAAGUUUGGCUCUAAACACAUUUUCAAACAGAAGAUUAAAAUACUUAACGUGACCUUUUUCCUGGAUUCUGGAAGAAUGUGAGCCCUGCUGUUCACCACAACGAGGCAGCUGCAUCUCCAGGAAUUCUUCUUCCUGUGGAGGGAGCUGGUUUGUGCCUAGACCUGUGGCAUCCUCGCGUAGACAGCCGCUUAGGGGCGCCGACGGCUCACCCCUGCGUCCCAUCGGCUGUUGUAGGGGGUGGGAGGCUCUGGAUUUGAGCCAUCAGAUGGACGGAGGCUGUCACUCAUGGGGCAAGUGAGGGCGUUUCAAUCAGGGGGCCCUGAUUCCAUCCCAAACCUGCCCCUUGGCCCCCCAUGCAGACCCCAGGCCCACGGCGGCCGCCCCCUCCUCCCUUUCAUCCCCGCCCCUUCGGGGGCCUCUCGCC